CCCCGGUAAACGGCGGCCGUAACUAUAACGGUCCUAAGGUAGCGAAAUUCCUUGUCGGGUAAGUUCCGACCUGCACGAAUGGCGUAAUGAUGGCCAGGCUGUCUCCACCCGAGACUCAGUGAAAUUGAACUCGCUGUGAAGAUGCAGUGUACCCGCGGCAAGACGGAAAGACCCCGUGAACCUUUACUAUAGCUUGACACUGAACAUUGAGCCUUGAUGUGUAGGAUAGGUGGGAGGCUUUGAAGUGUGGACGCCAGUCUGCAUGGAGCCGACCUUGAAAUACCACCCUUUAAUGUUUGAUGUUCUAACGUGGACCCGUAAUCCGGGUUGCGGACAGUGUCUGGUGGGUAGUUUGACUGGGGCGGUCUCCUCCUAAAGAGUAACGGAGGAGCACGAAGGUUGGCUAAUCCUGGUCGGACAUCAGGAGGUUAGUGCAAUGGCAUAAGCCAGCUUGACUGCGAGCGUGACGGCGCGAGCAGGUGCGAAAGCAGGUCAUAGUGAUCCGGUGGUUCUGAAUGGAAGGGCCAUCGCUCAACGGAUAAAAGGUACUCCGGGGAUAACAGGCUGAUACCGCCCAAGAGUUCAUAUCGACGGCGGUGUUUGGCACCUCGAUGUCGGCUCAUCACAUCCUGGGGCUGAAGUAGGUCCCAAGGGUAUGGCUGUUCGCCAUUUAAAGUGGUACGCGAGCUGGGUUUAGAACGUCGUGAGACAGUUCGGUCCCUAUCUGCCGUGGGCGCUGGAGAACUGAGGGGGGCUGCUCCUAGUACGAGAGGACCGGAGUGGACGCAUCACUGGUGUUCGGGUUGUCAUGCCAAUGGCACUGCCCGGUAGCUAAAUGCGGAAGAGAUAAGUGCUGAAAGCAUCUAAGCACGAAACUUGCCCCGAGAUGAGUUCUCCCUGAGACUUAGAGUCUCCUGAAGGAACGUUGAAGACGACGACGUUGAUAGGCCGGGUGUGUAAG
rnacentral:rRNA from 1 species